GGGGGCAUAGCUCAGUUGGGAGAGCAUCUGAUUUGCAUUCAGAAGGUCGCAGGUUCGAUCCCUGUUGCCUCCACCA
rnacentral:tRNA from 3 species